UACGUAGGGACCAAGCGUUGUUCGGAUUUACUGGGCGUAAAGGGCGCGUAGGCGGCGUGUUAAGUCACUUGUGAAAUCUCUGAGCUUAACUCAGAACGGUCAAGUGAUACUGAUGUGCUAGAGUGCAGAAGGGGCAACCGGAAUUCUUGGUGUAGCGGUGAAAUGCGUAGAUAUCAAGAGGAACACCUGAGGUGAAGACGGGUUGCUGGGCUGACACUGACGCUGAGGCGCGAAAGCCUAGGGUAGCAAACGGG
rnacentral:rRNA from 1 species